rnacentral:rRNA from 1 species
GAUGAACGCUGGCGGCGUGCCUAAUACAUGCAAGUCGAGCGAACGGACGAGAAGCUUGCUUUUCUGAUGUUAGCGGCGGACGGGUGAGUAACACGUGGAUAACCUACCUAUAAGACUGGGAUAACUUCGGGAAACCGGAGCUAAUACCGGAUAAUAUUUUGAACCGCAUGGUUCAAAAGUGAAAGACGGUCUUGCUGUCACUUAUAGAUGGAUCCGCGCUGCAUUAGCUAGUUGGUAAGGUAACGGCUUACCAAGGCAACGAUGCAUAGCCGACCGGAGAGGGUGAUCGCCCACACUGGAACUGAGACACGGUCCAGCCUCCUACGGGAGGCAGCAGUAGGGAAUCUUCCGCAAUGGGCGAAGGCCUGACGGAGCAACGCCGCGUGAGUGAUGAAGGUCUUCGGAUCGUAAACCUCUGUUAUUAGGGAAGAACAUAUGUGUAAGUAACUGUGCACAUCUUGACGGUACCUAAUCAGAAAGCCACGGCUAACUACGUG